UUUACCUCCUAGAUGCUUAGUAAGAACAGUUGUUGACAGAUUCGAAAUCUUGGAACAACCUAUAGUGAUAAUCUGCAGGCUUGCUUUAAAGCUUUUGUAUUUUAUUUUUGGUAUUUCCCGAAUGAUCUUAAUUAAGGACUUAAUAAGGCUUGUCUUCGAAUCAAGAAAUUUCUUAAAUUAAUUGUUGUUUGUAAUCCAUUUUUUUUUUUUUUUGUGAUUGCUUUUUCGGAAUCGACAUUUUUGUAAUGACUGUUUUGAAUCGGACCUAUGUUGGUUUUUUUUUUUUUUGUGGUUAUUUAGAAUCAACUUCUACUCUUUUGGGGGUGGCUGAUUGAAUAGACUUGUGCAUUUUUCAUAUAUGAACAUUAUUCGUAGUUUCUGUUUUGAAUCGACCUGUUUGUUAUUUGUAGUGGCUAUUUGAAAUCGGCUUGUGCUUUUUUUUUGGGGAUGGAUCUUUAAAAUCGGACUUCUGCGUAUUUAAGGGGGAUGCACAGUGAGAAAACAUCGAUCUAGGUCAAAAAUAUCGAUAUUUUAAAAUUAAUUGAUUUUAAUAGUUUAAAAUGUCUAGAAAACGAAUUCCCUAUCAGAAUACUAAAAAAACUGCGCUUUAUACAUCAAUUUUGUAUUUUAAAAGUAGAUGUAUAAGCAAAAUUUUGAUGUUUUGGUUAAAAAUCAACAUUUUGUAAGCUAAAGUUGAUAAGCUAAUGUACGCUCUUAUCCCUAACAGAUGGUAUCGAUACAAAGGUCUACUUUUCUAGUUCCGAUUAUGUGCAUGGUUUCUCAUUCUAUAAAUAUAAACUUUCAAAAUACGUCACUACCUCUUUUUUUUCCCUAUAUCCUCAUAUACACACUCACUAAGCCAUAUUUACGCAUGCGCACUAUCAAAGCUACAUUGGUAACUAUGACAACAAAAUUUACACGCAUGCGCACAUGACGUGAACCGGUCCUUCUUCUGUAAACAUUUGAAAGCCUCGAUUCAUUAUUCAAACUCAGAAAUGCCAACAAAAGGUUAUAUGUUUGGAAAGAAAAAACGUUACUGUAAGCCCAGAGGAAGACAUGCUUCAAAGACAAAUGCAUAAUUACAAAGAUAAGUCUAAAUCUAGAGUUUUUUAUUUACUAGACCAGCGUGUGCUUACACAUAAAAUAAUCAUAAUGAGAUAAUGAUAAUCACUUUGCUUCAUCAAUCUUUGAAUUCGACAAACGCAACGUGUUUAUCAUAUCAAUGAAUCACAUCUAUAUAUAGAUCUAGACAUUAAAUAAAUAUCAUGAAAGUGAUUGCAAACAUAGAGAUCUAUCCUUUUUUAGAUCUAGUAUAGAUUAGAGACAUAGAUCACAUUAGAACUAGAAUGACUAGAUAUUCUAGAUUGACUAGAUCUAGACAUCUAGAUUAGAUCUAGAAUCUAGAUAGAUUCUAAAUCUAGAUUAUCAUGUAGUUGUAGGACUUCAACUUGGUCUUUUUUUUUUUAAGAUCUAAUACAUAUAUCAAGGUUCGUACGCGGUCUGGAAUUUCAAAAUUCAGAUUUCAGUCUUAAAAAAGUCUGGAAAAUUGCUACUUUUCGAUGCAAUUUUGUUAAAUGUCUGGAAUUUGAAAAAAAAAUAAUCCGAUGUCAUUCAGCCCUCAGGCGCCGUAACCGGUAAAACGCUAGGCUGCUAGAUCUAGUUGGGCAUAGAGGCUUCCAUUAAUAGGCCUACUAGAUCUAUCUAUUGACUAUUGUGAAAGCAUGCGCAAUCCACGGCAUGUCGGUGAAAUGCCAGCCAAUUUCUAGACGGUGUACUGUAGACUUAAAUCAGAUUUAGUAAUAGAUCUAGUCCUAGACUAGUAACUAGUUUAUUAUGACUGCUGUUAUCUUAUCUUAUAUAAUACAGUUGUUACUUCAAAAAAGAUGAUUAGAAGAUGUUAUUCUAUAUUAUCUAGAUGGUCGAUCAAAUUUCAGUUAGGCUACCAAAGGUCGGGAAGUUUUUGGCCUAGAUUUAUUUAUGCAUGGGCGAAACUCCCCCCCCCCCCUUUUUUUAAAUAAAGAAAACAAAUAUAUCUCGUCAAUGACGUCAAUAUAGAAUAUAUAGAGAGUCUAGAUCUAGAUCUUGAGUCUAAACCAAAAAUAUUUGGCAACAAGAAUGACUUACUAGAUCUAGGUCUACUACUAGAUUUAAAAGUCUCGAUCUAUUUGCGACUUAGAUAGUUUACUAGAUCUAGGUCUACUACUAGAUUUAGUCUCGAUCUAUGACUAUGCGCGACUUUUAUUACUAGAUCUAUAUCUGUUCUAGGUCUACUAGAUCUACUAAAUUCUAAAUUCUACUAGACUAGAUUACUAGAUUUAGUCUUGAUCUAUGCGCCACUUCUUAAUAGAUCAAGGUUUUCUACUAGCCUAAUGUUAGCCUCGAUCUAUGUGUGAUUCCCCCCCCCCCCCCCACAUUAAAUAAAGAAAACAAAUUAUAUUAUAAUAUAUCUAGUCAACAUAGAAUAUGCCUAUAAGAUCGGUAAAACUUCCCAUCGAAGGCCUCUAGUUUUUUAGGUUAAUUAUUUGGCAGCUGUCUAUGCGCACUUGAGUCUAAACUAAAAGACUAGGCCUUUAGAAUGACUUCCAUUACUAGGUCUAGAAUUAGAUUUAGUCUUCAUCUAUGCGCAAAUUAGAUUACUAGAUCUAGGUCUACUACUAGAUUUAGUACCUAAUUUAGUCUCGAUCUAUGCACGAUUUCCCCCCCCCCUCCCCAUUUAAAUAAAGAAAACAAGUUAUAUUAUAUCUAGUCAACAUAGAAUAUAGAUCUAGAUCUUAGUCUAAACUAAAAGAUAAAAGACUAGAGCACAAGAAUGACUUAGAUUACUAGGUCUGCAACUAGAUUUAGUCUCGAUCUAUGCACGAUUACCCCCCACCCCCCCCUUUUUUUUUUUCCCCAAAUAUAUUCAAUGUAGAAUAUAGAUCUUGAGUCUAAACUCAAAAACUAAAAAGACUUAGAAUACUAGAUCUACUACUAGAUUUAGUCUUGAUCUAAGUCUAGAUUUAGAUCUAGCAUACUUAGCAUAUAGAUCUAUAAUUAUAAUCUAGUAUGGUUAUGAAAUAGAUUUAGAUCAAUAUUAUCAAUUUUUACCCCGUUAAAAAAAACAAGUCAGUAUUCACAUAGGCAUAGGCCUAUUGUGAAUUAGACAUAAGUAAGCCACUACUACAAAUUAAAUUUCAAGUUCAAUACAGUUAAUCUAUCUCUAGAUCUUUAUUUAAAAUUAUCUCCUCCAAUAGAAUUAUAGGCCUACUAGAGGUAGGCCCUCUAACCUAGGCUAGUCUAAAUAAGUCUUUACUUUUUAACUAGUGUCUAAUGUUUACGCCACUAAAUAUCUAUAUAAAAAUUAUAAAACUGUUGGACUAGUUAUGAGAUUAAGAAUAAGAUUUUACAACUAAGUUAGGCCUAUUGAACUAUAUAGGGCCUAUUAAAUUUCCCAAGUGCUACAAGAUUAGUGACUUUUUUUCCCCCUUGUACCGUAUGUUCCUUAAUAAUUGAAAAUUAUUAUUACACCCUAGUCCAAACCUCCCACAGUACGACAGGGGUUAGUUAUUGGCAGGGUUUGAACCCAAGAUCACGAAUACAGCAGUCCAGAGCACAUAUGGCAUGCUCAGCUCUGUUUUGGAUACAGCUGGAUCUGAAGCAGCAACAACGCAGCCUGCAAGUGCAGCUGAACGAAAAAUAAUUCUAACUGCAAUUACUAACGCUGAUAACACCAAUAAGAGGCUGCCUGAAGAUUUCAUAUACGUCAUGAUGAAUUCAAUGGAAUUGACCACAAUGGUCUCCUUGUUGUGCUGUCCACAUUGCUUCGACAAAAAAUUAACCAUGUGCAUCACACAAUCAAAAGGCAUGGCUCAUUUGAUUAAAAUCAAAUGCCUAAAUUGUGAAACAUAUUUGUGGCCUGACUGGACCUCAAAAAAAAGUAAUAAUGUUCAUCUGGAUAUUAAUGUCCGCGCUGUCGCUGCAUUAAAAGAAUCUGGAAUCUCGCAUUCUAAAUUUGAUAGGUUUUGUGGACUUAUGAGUAUGCCCUGCAUGCACAGAAAUACUUAUAACAAUCUAGCUAACAUAGUCAACACUGCUAUAAUUGAAGCUGGUGAAGAAUGUAUGAUUAGGGCAUCUGCUGUUGUGCAUGGAAGAAACAUUUCACAACCUCUGACUACAGAUGAUAGAAUAAGUUCAACAGGCUGUCCUGUUAUUACAGUUUCUUUUGAUGGGACUUGGCAUAAAAGGGGCCACUCAUCUCAUUCAGGAAUUGGCAGUUAUUGAUUUUGAUACUGGACUCGUCAUCGACACCGAAGUCCUAUCAAAUUAUUGCUGUGUUUGUGAGUCAAACUCUGCAGAACUAAAUUUUGAUGCCUCUAAGCAUAUGUGUCAAAAAAACUUCAGUGGCUCAGCAAAUGCAAUGGAGGCCGCAGCAGCAUCCAAAAUUUGUUCUCACUCUGUGGCAUCAGAAAACUUGUUUAUGGCAUGAUGCUGUGUGAUGGUGAUAGUAAAUCACAUUCAUCUGCCAUUACCAGCUCAUGAUAUGAUGUAGAAAUCUUAAAAGAGGACUGCAUUAACCACAUCUCAAAAAGAAUGUUUAAUACUUUGAACAAUUUAAAAAUGUCUAACAAAAAAGAACUAAAUUAUAGGCUUACAAAGCCAAAAAUUGAAAAAAUUACAAAUAACUAUUCCAAAGUUCUGCGCCAAAAUGCUCCUGACAUUCAAAAAAAUGAAGCUGGCUGUUAUGGGCUCAUUUUUUCAUAUGAUGAGCUCAGACCUAGAUCAUAACCACAGGUUGUGUCCUGAUGGCACUACAUCUUGGUGUCACACUUUAAGAGAUCAGAGGCACUAAAACAGCCAUACAAAAAACAUAAUCAGACCAUCACAUCAGAAAUAGGAAAACUGUUAUUUCCUAUAACAGACACAGAUCUGUUAAAAACGUUCAAGAAUGGGAACACAAAACGCCAAUGAAUCUUUUCAUUCCCUAAUUUGGCAAAUUGCCCCAAAACAGAAUUCGCAACAUUAAAAACUAAGGACGGCGACAUACCUUGCUGUUUUAGCCUUCAAUAAUGGCAUUAAAUCAGUUUUUGACAUAUUAGGCGUUCCCUGGACACUAAAGAACAUUUCUUCUAGUGAGAAAAAGCAAAAUGUCAAACUACAGCUUGUUAGAAAAAGAUCAAUCACAUUAGUGUCCAGGAGAAAAAAAUUGAAAAAGCAAAGAAUUGAGCAUGAGCACCGGGCAGAGGUUCUAGAAGGUCCAAUCUAUCAAUCAGGCCAUUUUAAUGAAUAGUUUUUUUUAUUAUCUAUUAUGUUAUAUUAUGUAAAUAUUCCCUUUUUUUUUCAUUUUUAUGGUUGCAAUAAAUAUUUUAUAUCAUUUUAAAAACUUUAAA